UACGUAGGGGGCAAGCGUUGUCCGGAAUCAUUGGGCGUAAAGAGCGUGUAGGCGGCCAGAUAAGUCCGCUGUGAAAACUCGAGGCUCAACUUCGAGCUGUCGGUGGAAACUAUUUGGCUAGAGUCCGGAAGAGGAGAGUGGAAUUCCUGGUGUAGCGGUGAAAUGCGCAGAUAUCAGGAAGAACACCCGUGGCGAAGGCGGCUCUCUGGUACGGAACUGACGCUGAGACGCGAAAGCGUGGGGAGCGAAUGGG
rnacentral:rRNA from 1 species